CCUACGGGUGGCAGCAGUGGGGAAUAUUGCACAAUGGGGGAAACCCUGAUGCAGCGACGCCGCGUGAGCGAUGAAGUAUUUCGGUAUGUAAAACUCUAUUAGCAGGGAAGAAAAUGACGGUACCUGACUAAGAAGCCCAGGCUAACGACGUGCCAGCAGCCGCGGUAAUACGUAGGGGGCAGGCGUUAUCCGGAUUUACUGGGUGUAAAGGGAGCGUAGGCGGUCCUGCAAGCCAGAUGUGAAAGCCCGGGGCUCAACCCCGGGACUGCAUUUGAAACUGUAAGGCUAGAGUGUCGGAGGGGCAGGCGGAAUUCCUGGUGUAGCGGUGAAAUGCGUAGAUAUUAGAGAGAACACCGGUGGCGAAGGCGGCCUGCUGGACGAUUACUGACGUUGAGGCUCGAAAGCGUGGGGAGCAAACAGGAUUAGAUACCCUGGUAGUC
rnacentral:rRNA from 1 species